rnacentral:rRNA from 1 species
UACGUAGGGUGCAAGCGUUGUCCGGAUUUAUUGGGCGUAAAGAGCUCGUAGGCGGUCUGUCGCGUCGGCUGUGAAAUCCCGAGGCUCAACCUCGGGUCUGCAGUCGAUACGGGCAAACUGGAGUGUUGCAGGGGAGACUGGAAUUCCUGGUGUAGCGGUGAAAUGCGCAGAUAUCAGGAGGAACACCGGUGGCGAAGGCGGGUCUCUGGGCAGCAACUGACGCUGAGGAGCGAAAGCGUGGGGAGCGAACAGG